UACGUAGGGGGCAAGCGUUGUCCGGAAUCAUUGGGCGUAAAGCGCGUGUAGGCGGCUCGAUAAGUCCGUUCUGAAAGUCCAGGGCUCAACCCUGGGAUGCGGAUGGAUACUGUCGAGCUCGAGUCCGGAAGAGGCGAGUGGAAUUCCUGGUGUAGCGGUGAAAUGCGCAGAUAUCAGGAGGAACACCAAUGGCGAAGGCAGCUCGCUGGGACGUGACUGACGCUGAGGAGCGAAAGCGUGGGGAGCGAACAGG
rnacentral:rRNA from 1 species